UACGGAGGAUGCAAGCGUUAUCCGGAAUGAUUGGGCGUAAAGCGUCCGCAGGUGGCGAUGUAAGUCUGCUGUUAAAGAGUGAGGCUCAACCUCAUAAGAGCAGUGGAAACUACAUAGCUAGAGUACGUUCGGGGCAGAGGGAAUUCCUGGUGUAGCGGUGAAAUGCGUAGAUAUCGAGAGGAACACCUGCGGCGAAGGCGGGUUGCUGGGCUGAUACUGACGCUGAGGCGCGAAAGCCAGGGGAGCGAACGGG
rnacentral:rRNA from 1 species